AGAGUUUGAUCCUGGCUCAGGAUGAACGCUGUUUGCGUGCCUAACACAUGCAAGUCGAACGGGCCGCGCCUGAAACCUAGUGAAGGCGCGGCCAGUGGCGGACGGGUGAGUAACGCGUGGGCAACCUGCCGCGCACAGGGGGACAACGGCCGGAAACGGCCGCUAAUACCGCAUAUUCCCGCUGGGCUGCAUGGCCCGGCGGCCAAAGGAAGCGAUUCCGGCGGGGGAUGGGCAUGCGGCGCAUUAGCUAGUCGGCGGGGUAACGGCCCACCGAGGCGACGAUGCGUAGGGGUUCUGAGAGGAAGGUCCCCCACACUGGUACUGAGACACGGACCAGACUCCUACGGGAGGCAGCAGUGAGGAAUAUUGGUCAAUGGGCGGGAGCCUGAACCAGCCAAGUCGCGUGAGGGAAGACGGUCCCACGGAUUGUAAACCUCUUUUGCCGGGGAGCAACGGGGUCCUUGCGAGGGCCCGAUGAGAGUACCCGGAGAAAAAGCAUCGGCUAACUCCGUGCCAGCAGCCGCGGUAAUACGGAGGAUGCGAGCGUUAUCCGGAUUUAUUGGGUUUAAAGGGUGCGUAGGCGGGCUGUUAAGUCAGCGGUCAAAUGUCGGGGCUCAACCCCGGCCUGCCGUUGAAACUGGCGGCCUCGAGUGGGCGAGAAGUAUGCGGAAUGCGUGGUGUAGCGGGGAAAUGCAUAGAUAUCACGCAGAGCUCCGAUUGCGAAGGCAGCAUACCGGCGCCCGACUGACGCUGAGGCACGAAAGCGUGGGUAUCGAACAGGAUUAGAUACCCUGGUAGUCCACGCAGUAAACGAUGAAUGCUAGCUGUCCCGUUCUA
rnacentral:rRNA from 1 species